CCUACGGGAGGCAGCAGUGGGGAAUUUUGGACAAUGGGCGAAAGCCUGAUCCAGCAAUGCCGCGUGUGUGAAGAAGGCCUUCGGGUUGUAAAGCACUUUUGUCCGGAAAGAAAUCCUCUGGGUUAAUACCUCGGGGGGAUGACGGUACCGGAAGAAUAAGCACCGGCUAACUACGUGCCAGCAGCCGCGGUAAUACGUAGGGUGCAAGCGUUAAUCGGAAUUACUGGGCGUAAAGCGUGCGCAGGCGGUUUUGUAAGACGGAUGUGAAAUCCCCGGGCUUAACCUGGGAACUGCAUUCGUGACUGCAAGGCUAGAGUAUGGCAGAGGGGGGUAGAAUUCCACGUGUAGCAGUGAAAUGCGUAGAGAUGUGGAGGAAUACCGAUGGCGAAGGCAGCCCCCUGGGCCAAUACUGACGCUCAUGCGCGAAAGCGUGGGGAGCAAACAGGAUUAGAUACCCUGGUAGUCCACGCCCUAAACGAUGUCAACUAGUUGUUGGGGAUUCAUUUCCUUAGUAACGAAGCUAACGCGUGAAGUUGACCGCCUGGGGAGUACGGUCGCAAGAUUAAAACUCAAAUGAAUUGACGGGG
rnacentral:rRNA from 1 species